rnacentral:tRNA from 1 species
GGGCAAGUGGCGGAAUUGGCAUACGCGCACGGUUUAGGACCGUGUUCCGAAAGGAGUGAGGGUUCAAGUCCCUCCUUGCCCA